UACGGAGGGUGCGAGCGUUGUCCGGAAUCACUGGGCGUAAAGGGCGCGUAGGCGGCGCGGAAAGUCAGUGGUGAAAGCCCGAGGCUCAACUUCGGGUCUGCCAUUGAGACUUCUGUGCUCGAGUCGACUAGAGGCUAAUGGAAUUCCGGGUGUAGCGGUGGAAUGCGUAGAGAUCCGGAAGAACACCGGUGGCGAAGGCGGUUAGCUGGGGUCGAACUGACGCUGAUGCGCGACAGCGUGGGGAGCAAACAGG
rnacentral:rRNA from 1 species